CGCUAUAGAUGAUGGAGUCCUCUGCACAAAAAGGGUUAUUAUCAAACUGCUUUAAUAAGUAUCCUCCUCAUGUAUUAUUUAAAAGUGAUAAUUAAUUAAUUAAUUAAAGUGAGCACCAAUUGAGAGAACACAGAGUCACUCUAGAUACUGGCUGUGGCAAAAAGCUCCUAUUUGCACAUGGAUAUUGUUCACCAAAGACAGCCCAGUUGCUUGAUUUUGGACCUCUCCAGGUGGAGCUACAGAAAUAUACACCAGUUGAGCUUCUGGCCACACAUCCAUUAACUGAUGCCAACACACCUCAACUGAAGAAAUUUGGUACUUUUAUAAAGCAGCAGGAUUUACAGCCUCUUUCUGCAAUCAAACAGGCCUGUAUAUGCACUGAUGAGCUCAACAUGUCUUCACCAUUCCAGCACCAGGAUGGAUAAUUCUCACUUCACAUGAGUUUUGUCGCGAGAAUCACAGGUCCGAUGAUAAAUACCCAAGGGGAGACGGACAGAACCAGGUGGACAGUUUUAUCAAAUAAAAAAUAUUGA